UCAGAAUGGCAUAGAUUAAAAAAGAAAAAGUGUGUAAAAAUUACAGAUAUCCCAAGUUAGAAGAAAAGACCCUACUUCACUGCAUGCAAGUAACCUGAGUCUCUCCACCACAAUUACAUUUCGUCACACUACAUCCAUGACUGAAGAUCUCAGAAUAGCAAGGAUAGAGGAGUCAUAUGAUCUCUCUUGGAAAUACUGGAAAGUUACUGUAUGGUGAAAGAGACAGAUGGCACACAGCCCCAGCAUAGCAUAGAAGAUGAUAAAUGCCAUAAUGAAAUUGUAAAGACCUGUGGGAGCUGAAAGGAGGAGAUGGAUACUAGCUCCUCCAUGAAGUGUUGCCUAAUUUCCCCAAAAGGAAUUUGAAGUGGAACUUGAAAGAUGGAUGGAAUGUUAAUAAAGAGUAAAAGACCUGCUUCAGCUUCUCA